UCUUCCCUCACUGGAAAUGCAUCUAAGUGAGAGACAUAGCUGGCCACGUGAAAAGUAGGGCGUUGAAGGAAAAGUCUCCUAUCUACCCUCUCAGGCUUUUUCAUUACUGAAUAAUGGAGGAAGGGAAGAAACUUUCUGCCUUUCUGCUUACCCCUGUACGAAUUCACAGGAACACAGCUGCCAAAAGUGCAGGCAAAGAACCCUGGCUGAGCUGUCAUCAAAAGGAGUUGCUUAAGAAAACCCAUUGA
rnacentral:lncRNA from 1 species